UUAGUCCUGAUGUGUUCGUCCUUAAUCCAGUUUUGACCGAACAAUUUUUUGCUUGGGAGCUCGGAGUUUUUAACGAGCGUACAUGCCUCAUCUCGAGGACUUACAAUGGUUAAAGCAGAGCACCCACCUGCCGAGAGCGGGUUCAAAACGAAGGCACUCGAGACGGCACGAUCGGGACUAGC
rfam:Bacillus megaterium QM B1551, complete genome.